GAUGAACGCUAGCUACAGGCUUAACACAUGCAAGUCGAGGGACCGGCGCACGGGUGAGUAACACGUAUCCAACAUGCCCUUUACUCGGGGAUAGCCUUUCGAAAGAAAGAUUAAUACCCGAUGUAAAGGAUGGGGAUGCGUUCCAUUAGGUUGUUGGUGAGGUAACGGCUCACAAAGCCUUCGAUGGAUAGGGGUUCUGAGAGGAAGGUCCCCCACAUUGGAACUGAGACACGGUCCAAAGUCCUACGUGAGGCAGCAGUGAGGAAUAGUGGUCAAUGGGCGUGAGCCUGAACCAGCAAAGUAGCGUGAAGGAUGAAGGCUUAUGGGUCGUAAACUUCUUUUAUAUAAGAAUAUGUAUUAUAUGAAUAAGGAGCGGCUAACUCCGUGCCAGCAGCCGCGGUAAUC
rnacentral:rRNA from 1 species